GGCACCUGGGACAGGUGUGUGCACAUGCCCGCACACACACACACACGAACCCAGGCAUUCGGGACACACAUGCACAGAACCCAGGUGCCCUACACACUGAAACCAAGGCAUUUGGGACACACAUGGCACGCACACACAGACAGCACGGGGUCCUGUGUCCCAGAAUCGAGGCAUCUGGGACAUCCCCCCUGACACACACACACCCCUACCUUGCACCUACACAAGCCUGGUGCAGGUGCCCUGCUGGCAGCCCCCAGCUCUGGGGGUGGCACCAGGCCAGAAAAUCCCCAGCCCUGGUUGCUGGGGGUGCAGGAAGGAUCCUCUUACCCGGCCCAAGGUUAAAGCCAAGGACUCAGGGAAGGGCUGGAAAGUCCUGGGAGCUGGCCCCCCCUUACUGGUGAAACUAAGUUGCAGAUUGGUCCCAGUCCAGAUUAGACCGUGCAGAUGCCCAUCCCCCAGAAUCACCAGGUCCCACUUCUUUGCCCCCCUAGCCCCGCCCAAGCGCCUGGGGUGGGGGUGGAGGGUGUCAAGGUAUCGGCUCCCGGGUUCCCCCCCCCCCCCCACAAA